rnacentral:rRNA from 1 species
UACAGAGGUCCCAAGCGUUGUCCGGAAUCACUGGGCGUAAAGGGCGCGUAGGCGGCUCAUGAAGGCUGUGGUGAAAGUCCGGGGCUCAACCUCGGAUCGGCCGUGGCGACUCGUGGGCUGGAGCACUGUAGAGGCGGGUGGAAUUCCGGGUGUAGCGGUGGAAUGCGUAGAGAUCCGGAAGAACACCGGUGGCGAAGGCGGUCUGCUGGGGUCGAACUGACGCUGAGGCGCGACAGCGUGGGGAGCAAGCAGG